rnacentral:rRNA from 2 species
AACAUAGGGGGCAAGCGUUGUCCGGAAUCACUGGGCGUAAAGGGCGCGCAGGCGGUCUGUUAAGUCAGAUGUGAAAGGUUAGGGCUCAACCCUGAACGUGCAUCUGAUACUGGCAGACUUGAGUAUGGAAGAGGUAAGUGGAAUUCCUAGUGUAGCGGUGAAAUGCGUAGAUAUUAGGAGGAACACCAGUGGCGAAGGCGACUUACUGGGCCAUAACUGACGCUGAGGCGCGAAAGCGUGGGGAGCAAACAGG